CCAUCCACCGCGUAAUUGAGUUCCCUGCAAAAGAGUUCGCUGCUGGUUUCUGAGAUGAAUUUGUGAUGAAGAAAGAGGGUCAAAGUAGUUUCCAGGCAAUCUUGUGGUGUUGGUGGAGAUGGCAGCUGCAGUUACUGGAACCAGUAAGAAUGAAAACUCUGAGGGAGGAGUCUUCUCUGUUCUAUACAGCCUGCAGUUUCAAGAGGCACAGCGCUUCUGAGGGGCCCUGAUUUUACUGCCGUGGAUAGUGAGAACUGCAAAAACUGUCACCGGGAACGACUCCAUCCAAAUCCCAGCACUAAAAGACUUGAUCAAUGACUUCUGGCUGCCUAAGGCCAUAUUCCUGGGAAGACCAAAGUCCCACCUGAGUUCCCAUCUGGAAAAGCUUAAGCGUGCCAAAAGAAUUCACUGUUGUUAACAACAAACACCUGAGAUAGGCCCUUGACCUCUGUUUCUUAGAGUAUUUGUUAAGGAAAAAAAAAAGCUUACAAAUCUAAAUAUUUCCUUUGUCCCUUUGAGAUGCAUAUGUAUUUCCUACAACCCUUGGAGUGUCUUUCUCAAAGACCUGAGACCUUUGAAAUGUAAUCAUGUAAUUUUUAGAAAAGGAUAGGGUCCCAGUCUCUCAUUGCCUUUAGGAAGCCUAACUUCGAUAAAUGCCAGUAGCAGACACUGGCAGCCUAAUCCAUUUUCAUUGACCCACCCUCUUAGCCACUUUUUGUAAUUUUUCACAUCUCUGACUCUGCUCUAUCUACCACUG
rnacentral:lncRNA from 1 species